rnacentral:tRNA from 1 species
GCCUAGUUAGCUUAGUUGGUAGUGCGUCUGCCUUGUAACCUGUAAGCGCUAGGCCGCGGGUUCGAUUCCCGCCCGGGGCG